rnacentral:rRNA from 1 species
GAUGAACGCUAGCGGCAGGCUUAAUACAUGCAAGUCGAACGGUAAGUUGAAUAGCAAUAUUUGACCUAGAGUGACGUACGGGUGCGUAACACGUAUGCAACCUACCCAUAACUGGAGGAUAGCUCCCCGAAAGGGGAAUUAACCCUCCAUAGUAAUAUUGAAUGGCAUCAUUUGAUAUUUAAAACUCCGGUGGUUAUGGA